UGACCCCAGAUCAUACGGGAUUAACCCCUAAGUUUAAUCAUAUCAAUAAGCUGAGGAAAAGAAACUUAUAAGGAUUUUCUUAGUUUCAGAUAGCAAAUCGAGAAUAGCCCAACCUUAGAAUCGGGCAGCUUCGUCAUCCGAAUUAUAGUCUGGAGAAGUAUCCUCAGCAGCGGACAAAGCCCAAGUUCCCUAAAAGGGGGUGCCAGAAAAGGUGAGAGCCUCGUUGUGCUCGGACCCUAUCACACUAUGAGGUGCUGUCUACAAGUUUGGUUGUUUGGGAAUGCAGCUUAAAUCGGGCGGUCAAUUCCAUCAAAGGCUAAAUACGGGCGAGAGACCAAUAGCGAACAAGUACCAUGAGGGAAAGAUAAAAAGGACUUUGAAAAGAGAGUCAAUGAGUUCUUGAAAUUAUUAAGAGGGAUGAAUAGAAGAUCAUGGUAGUUGCUGCAAAACCUUGGGUGCGAGCGGCCGUCGGUGCAGAUCAUGGUGGUAGUAGGAAAUAUUCAAACGAGAACAUUAAAGGCUGAAGAGAGGAAAAGCUCUAAGUAAACGACACUUGCACAUGGUUUAGUCUAUCCUAACAGUCUGGGAAACCUCGACAGAUAGCGCUUUUCGCGCUUACUCUGAAAAGGAAUCGGGUUAAAAUUCCUGAACUAGAAAGUGGUGGUUGAUAACAACAUUAGGAAGUUCGAAGACAUAGGCAGGAGCCUCCGAAAGAGUUAUCUUUUCUAUUUAAUAGCCUGCCCACCCUGGAAUUGGCUUAGCUGGAGGUAGGGUCCAGCUGCUGGAAGAGCACUGUACAUUGUAUGGUAUCGAUGCGCUCCCAGCGGCCCUAGAAAAUCAUGAGGACCAAAUGCAGUCCACGCCAGGUCAUACUCAUAACCGUAUCAGGUCUCCAAGGUGAACAACCUCUAGUUGAUGGAAUAAUGUAAGUAAUGGAAGUCGGCAAAAUGGAUCCAUAACUUUGGGAAAAGGAUUGGCUCUGAGGGCUAGGCACGGGGUUCCAAGUCCCGAACCUGUCAGCUGUCGAUGGACUGUUGAAGCUGCUCCCAUGGCUAAAGCGGGUCACCGCGUAUCGGAUAGGGGACGAACUGGGAACGGUUCCUUCAGGGGCCCUCCCCACGCGUCGAACAACUAACUCAAAACUAGUACGGACAAGGGGAAUCUGACUGUUUAAUUAAAAAAAGCAUUGCAAUGGUCCCAACGGAUGUUCACACAAUGUGAUUUCUACCAGUGUUCUGAAUCUCAAAGUGAAGAAAUUAAACUAAGCAUGGGUAAAUGGCGGGAGUAACUAUGACUCUCUUAAAGUAUCCAAAUGCCUCUUCAUCGUAUUAGUGACGUGCAUGAAUGGAUUAACGAGAUUCCCACUAUUCCUAUCUACUAUGCAGUGAAAACACAGCCAAGUGAACGGGCUUGGUAGAAUCAGCCAGGAAGCAAGACCCUAUUGAGCUUGACUCUAGUACAACUUUGUGAAAUGACUUGAGAGGUGUACUAUAUUUGGGAGUAGAAAGGGGAAGUGAAAUACCACUACUUUUAACAUUAUUUUACUUAUUUCUUGAAUUGAAAGAGGGACAUUGCCUCUCUGUUUUGACCCAAGGCUCACUCUACAAGCAGAUCUGAGCAAAAGACAUUAUCAGGUGGGGAGUUUGGCUGGGGAUACACAUUUGUUAGAAGAUAAUAUAGGUGUCCAAAGAUGAUCUCAACGAGAAUUGAAAUCUCGUAUGGAACAGAAGGGUUAAAACUCAUUUGAUUCUGAUUUCUAGUACGAAUACGAACUGUGAAAGCGUGGCCUAAUGAUUCUUUGAACCUUCAAAAUUUGAAGAUAGAUGUAUCAUAAAAGUUACCACAGGGAUAACUGGCUUGUGGAAACCAGGCAUUCAUAGCAAUGUUGCUUUUUGAUCCUUCGAUGUCAGCUUUUCCUAUCAUUACGAAGCAGAAUUCACAAAGAGUUGGAUUGUUCACCCACAAAUAGUGAACGUGAGCUGGGUUAAGAUGGUCUUGAGUCAAGUUAGUUCUACCCUACUGAUGAUAAUGUUGUAAUAGUAAUUCAACCUAGUACGAGAAGAACCGUUGAUUCACCCAAUUAGUUGUCGCGCUUGGUUGAAAAGCCAGUAGCGCGAAGCAACCAUGUGUUGGAUUAUGACUGAAUACCUCUAAGUCAAAAUUCGAGAUAGAAGUGAUGCAUGCACCCAUCGUCCACUUGCCGACCUGCAAUAGGGGCCUCGGCCUCUAAGGACCCGUGUCGUUGGCUAAGCCAUCACGAUAGAAGGGUCGCGAUGGCCACCUUGAAGCACAAUUUCCAUUGAGCGACAGUUAAAAUCCCUUGCAGAUGACUUAAAUGCUCAAUGGGGUACUGUAAGUGGCAGAGUGGCCUUACUGCCAUGAUCCACUGAGAUUUAGCUCUUUGUCUCUCCAGUUCGU
rnacentral:rRNA from 1 species